rnacentral:rRNA from 1 species
CAAGNCGAACGGUAACAGGUCUUCGGACGCUGACGAGUGGCGAACGGGUGAUGUAAUGCAUCGGAACGUGCCCAGUCGUGGGGGAUAACUGCUCGAAAGAGCAGCUAAUACCGCAUACGACCUGAGGGUGAAAGCGGGGGACCGUAAGGCCUCGCGCGAUUGGAGCGGCCGAUGUCAGAUUAGCUAGUUGGUGGGGUAAAGGCCUACCAAGGCAACGAUCUGUAGUUGGUCUGAGAGGACGACCAGCCACACUGGGACUGAGACACGGCCCAGACUCCUACGGGAGGCAGCAGUGGGGAAUUUUGGACAAUGGGCGCAAGCCUGAUCCAGCAAUGCCGCGUGCAGGAAGAAGGCCUUCGGGUUGUAAACUGCUUUUGUCAGGGAAGAAAUCUUCUGGGCUAAUACCCCGGGAGGAUGACGGUACCUGAAGAAUAAGCACCGGCUAACUACGUGCCAGCAGCCGCGGUAAUACGUAGGGUGCGAGCGUUAAUCGGAAUUACUGG